AACAUCGCGCACCUGCGGGAACCUGCGGAGGGAUCAUUACAGAGUUGCAAAACUCCCUAAACCAUUGUGAACGUUACCUAAACCGUUGCUUCGGCGGGCGGCCCGGGUCCUUCCCGGCGCCCAUCGGCCCUCGCGGGCGCCCGCCGGAGGUAAACCAAACUAUUGCAUUGUAUGGCCUCUCUGAGUCUUCUGUACUGAAUAGGUCAAAACUUUCAACAAUGGAUCUCAGAUCGGAAGAGC
rnacentral:misc_RNA from 1 species